ACUUAUUCUUUAAAUUGAAAUAAGCCUUCUUUUAACCCUUUAGUGUUCACGUUAUUCUGCCAUAAUUAACGCUUUUUCAUCCACAUUGUUUUGAACUAAUCAUGCAUUAAUCUUGUAGCUAUGAGAUUUUUUUUAAAAAGAUAUUGUAGGGUUGGUGUGAGAGACCAAAUAUGGCCAGUUUGAACAUAAAACAGGCAGA
rnacentral:lncRNA from 1 species